rfam:Neurospora crassa OR74A unplaced genomic scaffold supercont12.9, whole genome shotgun sequence.
AACUUUCAAUAACAGAUCUCUUAAUUCUAACAUCGAUAAAGAACGUAGCGAAAUACAAUAAGUAAUAUAAAUUAUAGAAUUUAAUAAAUUAUCGAAUUUUUAAACGUACAUUACACUCACUAAUAUUCUAAUAAAUAUACCUAUUCGAACGUUA